GAUGAACGCUGGCGGCGUGCCUAAUACAUGCAAGUCGAGCGAACAGACGAGAAGCUUGCUCCUUUGACGUUAGCGGGGGACGGGUGAGUAACAAGUGGAUCAGAUACCUCUAUGUCUGGGAUAACUUCGGGAAACCGGAGCUAAUACCGGCUCAUAUAUUGAACCGCAUGGUUCAAUAGUGAAAGACGGUUUUGCUGUCACUUAUAGAUGGAUCCGCGUCGCAUUAGCUAGUUGGUAAGGUAACGGCUUACCAAGGCGACGAUGCGUAGCCGACCUGAGAGGAUGAUCAGCCACACUGGAACUGAGACACGGUCCAGACUCCUACGGGAGGCAGCAGUGGGGAAUAUUGCGCAAUGGGCGAAAGCCUGACCGAGCCACACCGCGUGAGUGAAGAAGGUCUUCGGGUUGUAAAACCCUUUUGUUAGGAAAGAACAAAUGUGGAAUAAACUAUGCACGUCUUGACGGUACCUAAACAGAAAGCCACGGCUAACUUCGUG
rnacentral:rRNA from 1 species